rnacentral:rRNA from 1 species
CUUGCUUCUCUUGAGAGCGGCGGACGGGUGAGUAAUGCCUAGGAAUCUGCCUGGUAGUGGGGGAUAACGUUCGGAAACGGACGCUAAUACCGCAUACGUCCUACGGGAGAAAGCAGGGGACCUUCGGGCCUUGCGCUAUCAGAUGAGCCUAGGUCGGAUUAGCUAGUUGGUGGGGUAAUGGCUCACCAAGGCGACGAUCCGUAACUGGUCUGAGAGGAUGAUCAGUCACACUGGAACUGAGACACAGUCCAGACUCCUACGGGAGGCAGCAGUGGGGAAUAUUGGACAAUGGGCGAAAGCCUGAUCCAGCCAUGCCGCGUGUGUGAAGAAGGUCUUCGGAUUGUAAAGCACUUUAAGUUGGGAGGAAGGGUUGUAGAUUAAUACUCUGCAAUUUUGACGUUACCGACAGAAUAAGCACCGGCUAACUCUGUGCCAGCAGCCGCGGUAAUACAGAGGGUGCAAGCGUUAAUCGGAAUUACUGGGCGUAAAGCGCGCGUAGGUGGUUUGUUAAGUUGGAUGUGAAAUCCCCGGGCUCAACCUGGGAACUGCAUUCAAAACUGACUGACUAGAGUAUGGUAGAGGGUGGUGGAAUUUCCUGUGUAGCGGUGAAAUGCGUAGAUAUAGGAAGGAACACCAGUGGCGAAGGCGACCACCUGGACUAAUACUGACACUGAGGUGCGAAAGCGUGGGGAGCAAACAGGAUUAGAUACCCUGGUAGUCCACGCCGUAAACGAUGUCAACUAGCCGUUGGAAGCCUUGAGCUUUUA